AGUGAACGCUGGCGGUAGGCCUAACACAUGCAAGUCGAACGGCAGCACAGUAAGAGCUUGCUCUUACGGGUGGCGAGUGGCGGACGGGUGAGGAAUACAUCGGAAUCUACUUUUUCGUGGGGGAUAACGUAGGGAAACUUACGCUAAUACCGCAUACGACCUACGGGUGAAAGCAGUGGAUCUUCGGACCUUUCGCGAUUGAAUGAGCCGAUGUCGGAUUAGCUAGUUGGCGGGGUAAAGGCCCACCAAGGCAACGAUCCGUAGCUGGUCUGAGAGGAUGAUCGGCCACACUGGAACUGAGACACGGUCCAGACUCCUACGGGAGGCAGCAGUGGGGAAUAUUGGACAAUGGGCGCAAGCCUGAUCCAGCCAUACCGCGUGGGUGAAGAAGGCCUUCGGGUUGUAAAGCCCUUUUGUUGGGAAAGAAAAGCAGCAGGUUAAUACCCCGCUGUUCUGACGGUACCCAAAGAAUAAGCACCGGCUAACUUCGUG
rnacentral:rRNA from 1 species